UGCUGCUUCGCUGACGAGUGGCGGACGGGUGAGUAAUGUCUGGGAAACUGCCUGAUGGAGGGGGAUAACUACUGGAAACGGUGGCUAAUACCGCAUAACGUCGCAAGACCAAAGAGGGGGACCUUCGGGCCUCUUGCCAUCAGAUGUGCCCAGAUGGGAUUAGCUUGUUGGUGAGGUAACGGCUCACCAAGGCGACGAUCCCUAGCUGGUCUGAGAGGAUGACCAGCCACACUGGAACUGAGACACGGUCCAGACUCCUACGGGAGGCAGCAGUGGGGAAUAUUGCACAAUGGGCGCAAGCCUGAUGCAGCCAUGCCGCGUGUAUGAAGAAGGCCUUCGGGUUGUAAAGUACUUUCAGCGGGGAGGAAGGUGUUGUGGUUAAUAACCGCAGCAAUUGACGUUACCCGCAGAAGAAGCACCGGCUAACUCCGUGCCAGCAGCCGCGGUAAUACGGAGGGUGCAAGCGUUAAUCGGAAUUACUGGGCGUAAAGCGCACGCAGGCGGUCUGUCAAGUCGGAUGUGAAAUCCCCGGGCUCAACCUGGGAACUGCAUUCGAAACUGGCAGGCUUGAGUCUUGUAGAGGGGGGUAGAAUUCCAGGUGUAGCGGUGAAAUGCGUAGAGAUCUGGAGGAAUACCGGUGGCGAAGGCGGCCCCCUGGACAAAGACUGACGCUCAGGUGCGAAAGCGUGGGGAGNCAACAGGAUUAGAUACCCUGGUAGUCCACGCCGU
rnacentral:rRNA from 1 species